GGUUGAUCCUGCCAGUAGUCAUAUGCUUGUCUCAAAGAUUUAGCCAUGCAUGUCUAAGUAUAAGCUUUUAUACAGUGAAACUGCGAAUGGCUCAUUAUAUCAGUUAUAAUUUAUUUGAUAAUACCUUACUACUUGGAUAACCGUGGUAAUUCUAGAGCUAAUACAUGCGUCAAGGCCCGACUUUCGAAGGGCUGUAUUUAUUAGAUUAAAAACCAAUGCUGCUUGCAGCUUCAUGGUGAUUCAUAAUAACUUCUCGGAUCGUAUGACCUUGUGUCGACGACGUAUCAUUCAAA
rnacentral:rRNA from 1 species